rnacentral:rRNA from 1 species
UAACAGGUACUGGAGGUCCGAACCCACUAAUGUUGAAAAAUUAGGGGAUGAGCUGUGGAUAGGGGUGAAAGGCUAAACAAAUCCGGAAAUAGCUGGUUCUCCCCGAAAACUAUUUAGGUAGUGCGUCAUGUAUCACUUGCGGGGGUAAAGCACUGUUAUGGCUAGGGGGUCAUCGCGACUUACCAAACCAUGGCAAACUCUGAAUACCGCAAAGUGCGAGCAUGGCAGACAGACAGUGGGUGCUAACGUCCAUUGUCAAGAGGGAAACAACCCAGACCGCCAGCUAAGGUCCCCAAGACACAGUUAAGUGGGAAACGAAGUGGGAAGGCAUAGACAGCUAGGAGGUUGGCUUAGAAGCAGCCAUCCUUUAAAGAAAGCGUAAUAGCUCACUAGUCGAGUCGUCCUGCGCGGAAGAUGUAACGGGGCUCAAACUGUGCACCGAAGCUGCGGAUAUCGAAAGAUAUGGUAGGGGAGCGUUCUGUUGGUCUGUGAAGGUGUCUUGUAAAGGAUGCUGGAGAUAUCAGAAGUGCGAAUGCUGACAUGAGUAGCGAUAAAGGGCGUGAAAAGCGCCCUCGCCGAAAGCCCAAGGUUUCCUACGCAACGUUCAUCGGCGUAGGGUGAGUCGGCUCCUAAGGCGAGGCAGAAAUGCGUAGUCGAUGGGAAACAGGUCAAUAUUCCUGUACCGAUUCUAGAUGCGAUGUGGGGACGGAGAAGGUUAGGUCAGCCGGGUGUUGGACGUCCCGGUUUAAGCGUGUAGGCGUGCCCCUUAGGCAAAUCCGGGGGGCUAAGCUGAGGCGUGAUGACGAGGAACCACGGUUCCGAAGUGAUUGAUACCAAGCUUCCAGGAAAAGCCACUAAGCUUCAGUCUAGAGUUGACCGUACCGCAAACCGACACAGGUGGGCAGGAUGAAAAUUCUAAGGCGCUUGAGAGAACUCAGGAGAAGGAACUCGGCAAAUUAACACCGCAACUUCGGGAGAAGGUGUGCCCCGGUAGCGUGUAGAGACUUGCUCUCGAAGCGCGAUGGGGUUGCAGUGAAAUGGUGGCUGCGACUGUUUAAUAAAAACACAGCACUCUGCAAACACGAAAGUGGACGUAUAGGGUGUGACGCCUGCCCGGUGCCGGAAGGUUAAGUGAUGGGGUGCAAGCUCUUGAUCGAAGCCCCGGUAAACGGCGGCCGUAACAAUAACGGUCCUAAGGUAGCGAAAUUCCUUGUCGGGUAAGUUCCGACCUGCACGAAUGGCGUAACGAUGGCCACACUGUCUCCUCCUGGGACUCAGCGAAGUUGAAAUGUUUGUGAAGAUGCAAUCUACCCGCGGCUAGACGGAAAGACCCCAUGAACCUUUACUGUAGCUUUGCAUUGGACUUU